rnacentral:misc_RNA from 1 species
UUUCCGUAGGUGAACCUGCGGAAGGAUCAUUACUGAUUGAGGGCCCUCUGGGUCCAACCUCACACCCGUGUUUAUUGUACCUUGUUGCUUCGGUGCGCCCGCCUCACGGCCGCCGGCGGGCUUCUGCCCCCGGUUCCGCGCGCACGGGAUACACCAUUGAAAUCUGUCUGAAGAUUGCAGCCUGAGCAUAAUCUAAAUAAUUUAAAACUUUCAACAACGGAUCUCUUGGUUCCG